UACGUAGGGCGCGAGCGUUGCUCGGAAUCACUGGGCGUAAAGGGUGCGUAGGCGGGUCUUUAAGUCAGGGGUGAAAUCCUGGAGCUCAACUCCAGAACUGCCUUUGAUACUGAAGAUCUUGAGUUCGGGAGAGGUGAGUGGAACUGCGAGUGUAGAGGUGAAAUUCGUAGAUAUUCGCAAGAACACCAGUGGCGAAGGCGGCUCACUGGCCCGAUACUGACGCUGAGGCACGAAAGCGUGGGGAGCAAACAGG
rnacentral:rRNA from 1 species